rnacentral:misc_RNA from 1 species
GUAACUGCUGUAAAUUGUUGAGAAAUUCCCUCGAGUGUUUAUGGGCUCCAUCAUCAACCCGGUCCUGCGACACAGAUGAUCACACAGCAGGUAAUUGCUAUAAAUCGUUGAAAAGUUCCCUCGACUAUCUUUCGUAACCCUCAUCAGACUGAAAUGGCACUUAUAACACAUAUAUAUGCAAAGUUCUCAUCAAUAGAAACGGAUUAAGUUCAAACAGCAGGUAAUUGCUAUAAAUCGUUAAAGAGUUCCCUCGACUAACUUUUGUCUCCAUCAUCAGAUUGUAAUGGCACUUAUAACUCAUACAGGUGCAAAGUUCUCAUCUAUAGAAACGAAUUAAGUUCAAAAAGCAGGUAAUUGCUAUAAAUUCUUAAAGAGUUCCCUCGACUAUCUUUCGUCUCCAUCAUCAGACUUUAAUGGCACUUGUAACUUAUAUAGGUGCAAAGUUCUCAUCAAUAGAAACGAAUUAAGAUCAAACAGCAGGUAAUUGCUAUAAGUCGUUGAAGAGUACCCUCGACUAUCUUUCGUCUCCAUCAUCAGACUGAAAUGGCACUUAUAACUCAUACAUAUGCAAAGUUCUCAUCAAUAGAAACGAAUUAAGUUCAAACAGCAGGUAAUUGCUAUAAAUCGUUAAAGAGUUCCCUCGACUAUCUUUUGUCUCCAUCAUCAGACUGUAAUGGCACUUAUAACUCAUACAGGUGCAAAGU